GCCGGAGGCCCAGCAGGACUGGGUGUCCUCUGGAGCCUGGCCCGUGCCCCACCCACCUUGGGUCUGGCUCCCUCCCUUGCUGGAGCCUCCUCGCAGGCGUUGGUGCUGGUCACGGCUGAGGGAAGGAGCACAGGAUGGAUUCUCUCUGGGUGGCCCCGCCACUCCAGGCCACACUGCAGGCCCUGGCCCUCUGGGGUCCUUAUGGUCCUUACCGGCCCCUCCAGCCUGGCUCCUGCUCAGGGAGACAGAAGCCCCAGGCCAAGCAGAGCGUGGAUCAGUGUCCCAGGCCAGUCCCAGCCUCCCUGCAUCUUAAUGUCCCCAUCUCCCACUGGGACAGCGAUGCCAGCUCGCUUAAUGACCUGCUGUGACAAGUGACUCCCCAACCUCCAACCACGGACUCGAAGCAAAGGUUUAUUUCUGGCCCAAAUUCCACGCCUCUGCUCAUCAGAGAGAUGUGGCCAAGCCGCCCCACCCAAGGCCCACGAGCUCUAACCCAGGCCACGUUCAGCCUUUGUCAUCCAAGCAGCCGUCAUUCCAUUCUGAUGCUGUCCCGAAAUCUUCUGCAAGCAGUAAUGGUGCAGAACUGUAGACAAUUCACAGAAAAGACAGAUACAUCUGGGUUUCUCAUGGCUUUAAGACCGUGCCAUUGAGCUGGGUGGUUCUGAGCUGCACAUCUGCUGUAAGCUUCAGCAAAUCACCCCAAGAGCUGACGUGUGGGUAAAUACCACGCCUGGGCCACAUGGGCCCUGCAGAAAUGUCACCUGGAUACCCGAAGACAUCACCAGAGACAGAGUGCAAACCAGGACAUCCAUAGCCUGGAACUGCCAUGUUGAAAAUAUACUGUUUCUAUGCCAGUAAGUCGGAACGUGUAGCCCCAGAUGAGGGGCUCUACAAGACUGUCCAAGGGUUCCACAGCUCUGGGGCACACCAUCAGCUCGGGCGGUCUAGUUACUUGGCGAGGUCUUGGCUCCGAGGACCUUGCUUUAGGGUCCCUUCCAAUUGUCCUGGUUGUCCUCUUAGUUACAUCAGUGACCCCCUGCAUGUUGGAUUCUUUCAAGAGUCAUAAAUGCUUGUCAGCAGCCAUGAACUUGCAGAUGAUCUUCAUGAACAUUUCUCUGAAUCACUGAAAGGACCUGCUGAGCUUCUAGUCUGUGAGCUGGGAUGUCUGUGGAAAAGAAACAGAGCUGACCAAGUCAUGCUGCAUAGCUUGGUCACAUUCUCAGUUCAGUUGAGGGGAUAACCACUAGAUACAGCCCCUGGCCCCCAGCUCAGAGCCAGACGUUUCCCUGGAGUGCUGGCUCUGAUCAGAAACAAAGCACAAAGUGUGCAUUUUAGGUCCUUGUCAGCUGAUUCCGUGAAAGCAAACCGAUCAGCUGCAAACCAUCGGCCUGAACAGUGGCGUCUGCUGUAAAGGGUGAUGAUGUGGAGCAGCUGUGCCCCAGAAUCGGCCAUCGUCUCCAUUGACCUGACCAUGGGAUGGGAGAGAAGUGCCCGACUUCGCUCUCUCUCCUGUGCCAGCCAGAGAUAGUGGGGCUGAGCUACCACCUUGCUCCCCUUCGCAGCCCCUGGGCCCUGGAGGGUGGACUGGGACAACUUGGCCCUUGUCACAGUGUCCUCCCGCCACCCUGAGGCUGCUGGGGCGCUGCCCUCUGCGCCGUGCUGAUGGGAGGUGCAGCGUGGCGCCCCUCCUCCACACCGCCUGCUCCGGAUGUGGAAGAAGUGGGGACUCAGCCCCUAAAGUGGCAGAGAUCAGGGAGGGCCUGAGCCCAUUAUUAACCCCCAAGCACCCUAUCCCCAGUAAGAUGUGCCGAACACAGCUAACCCUCCUGAAGAGUCCCCAGUUUCAGCCAUUUUUUCAGAGACACAACAGCUAUCAAAUCCCUCGUGUCACCCUGAGCUCUCAUGGAACUGCCAUGAUGGCUGUGGCUGUCCUGGAUGCCCUACACCUGCUUGGACCAAUCACAGGCCUAUACGUGGACCAAUCACAGGAUUGCAGCUGUUGCUGUGUUUCCCCCCAAAUAAGACCUAACCGGAAAAUAAUCAGCCUUGAAAACUGGAGCCCAAGAAUGGCAGCCUCAAUCACCUUGCCUUACCUGCCACUACAGAGCAGCCACUGAGCAAGAGAGUAGUGAUGUGCAGUCUUCUCCAUGACACUGGCCAUCACCAUGAUGCCGACAGAUGGAAUGAGGGUUGUCUCCGGCCUGCACAAGCCUUGGAUCCUGCAUCAGAUGAUUCAUUCGACGAUCACUCCCCAAUCUGUAACUCUAGCUCCAAUGAUGAUCUCGUCACCACUUCUGAAGUCCUCCCAGCACCCUGCCUGUACGGCAGUGUCCCCUGCCAGCCUCAACAAACAUCUGCUUGCUCCAGUAUCUCCCAGUCUCCCCUGCAGGUGGAUAGAAGCCAUGAGCCUGGGCUGUGGCCAAUGGGGU
rnacentral:lncRNA from 1 species